rnacentral:misc_RNA from 1 species
GUUGGAAUUCAUGAUAGGCAGUGUAGAGUGUAGACAUUAAUUCCAAUUGCACAACCCUAAAAAGAAUCUUCACCCAAAAUCCCAAUAUUUGCUUGGAGAAAAAACUCCCUCGCUCGCUGAGUCUUCAAUGUUUCAACCAUUACUGAUUCUCCAGAAAUCAAACGUCUGUAAACCCUAAUUCAUCAAUAUAAUCAGUAAGUACGUAAUACUUUCCUUGUUUAAUCUUCUGUUUUUUGUUUUUAUUAUCAAUUUAUUGGCUGGAAACGUUGAUUUUGGGCGCUAGCAAUCCACGAUCUGGAUCUGGUAAUUAGAAAUCAAGAAAAUGGUAGUUUCGCAUAGUUUCUUAUCUCAAUUGAUGGGUUCUACUAGAGUUUUGUAAAUUGUCAUAAAAUAUGAAUUUUUGUGAAAAAGAAUUUUGAUUUUGGUUCUUAUUCAAUUUUAAUAUAGGAGAGAAAAUGC